rnacentral:rRNA from 1 species
CCCUUAGAUGUUCUGGGCUGCACGCGCGCUACAAUGGUCUUCGCAAACGGAUGCAUUCUCGAAGGAGAAUGCCAAUCUUGGAAUCUAUGCCUUGGUCGGGACAGUUGCUUGCAAUUUUUCGACUCGAACCAGGAAUUCCUUGUAAUCGUGAUUCAUCACAUCACGAUGAAUACGUCCCUGCCCUUUGUACACACCGCCCGUCGCUCCUACCGAUCGAAGAGUUAGGUGAAUUGUUUUGAUCGAUAAGAUUUGACUAUGGUCAACUCUCGUUGGGAAAUUCUGUGAAUCUGACUGUUUAGAGGAAGGAAAAGUCGUAACA